UCCCCGCGUAAGGCAACAUGCCUUGAUGAGGGUUGUUAUUUUCUAAUGGCACACCCGACGACUCUACUUUGAUCGUGCCCACUGCCACAGGCUCGAUAAGAGCUGAAGCCAAACUUGAAACGGAAAAGGGCUAAAACUAGGAAUUGGCUGUUCACCUAGGAUAACUCCUGCUUGACAAACAAUCUGAUGCAGAAAAAAAUAAAAAAAAGAAAUUGCACCCGACGUACUUCUUCAACAGAAGCAGGACUGGAUGCUCGAAAUUGGAUGGGACCUGAAGGAUGAAACCAACGAUAAUAUACUAGUUGACUGGUAUGCCCUAAUAAAAAAGCAUAUUUCAAUGCACAUAAAUAAAAAAACAUUAUAGAAAUCUAGGGUGCACCU